AGCGUACACGGUGGAUGCCCUGGCAGUCAGAGGCGAUGAAGGACGUGCUAAUCUGCGAUAAGCGCCGGUAAGGUGAUAUGAACCGUUAUAACCGGCGAUUUCCGAAUGGGGAAACCCAGUGUGACUCGUCACACUAUCAUUAACUGAAUCCAUAGGUUAAUGAGGCGAACCGGGGGAACUGAAACAUCUAAGUACCCCGAGGAAAAGAAAUCAACCGAGAUUCCCCCAGUAGCGGCGAGCGAACGGGGAGGAGCCCAGAGCCUGAAUCAGCAUGUGUGUUAGUGGAAGCGUCUGGAAAGGCGCGCGAUACAGGGUGACAGCCCCGUACACAAAAGCGCAUGUGCUGUGAGCUCGAUGAGUAGGGCGGGACACGUGGUAUCCUGUCUGAAUAUGGGGGGACCAUCCUCCAAGGCUAAAUACUCCUGACUGACCGAUAGUGAACCAGUACCGUGAGGGAAAGGCGAAAAGAACCCCGGCGAGGGGAGUGAAAAAGAACCUGAAACCGUGUACGUACAAGCAGUGGGAGCACCCUUCGGGGUGUGACUGCGUACCUUUUGUAUAAUGGGUCAGCGACUUAUAUUCUGUAGCAAGGUUAACCGAAUAGGGGAGCCGGAGGGAAACCGAGUCUUAAUUGGGCGUUAAGUUGCAGGGUAUAGACCCGAAACCCGGUGAUCUAGCCAUGGGCAGGUUGAAGGUUGGGUAACACUAACUGGAGGACCGAACCGACUAAUGUUGAAAAAUUAGCGGAUGACCUGUGGCUGGGGGUGAAAGGCCAAUCAAACCGGGAGAUAGCUGGUUCUCCCCGAAAGCUAUUUAGGUAGCGCCUCGUGAACUCAUCUCCGGGGGUAGAGCACUGUUUCGGCUAGGGGGCCAUCCCGGCUUACCAACCCGAUGCAAACUGCGAAUACCGGAGAAUGUUAUCACGGGAGACACACGGCGGGUGCUAACGUCCGUCGUGAAGAGGGAAACAACCCAGACCGCCAGCUAAGGUCCCAAAGUCAUGGUUAAGUGGGAAACGAUGUGGGAAGGCCCAGACAGCCAGGAUGUUGGCUUAGAAGCAGCCAUCAUUUAAAGAAAGCGUAAUAGCUCACUGGUCGAGUCGGCCUGCGCGGAAGAUGUAACGGGGCUAAACCAUGCACCGAAGCUGCGGCAGCGAACGUAUCACUUAAAGCGAUUCAGCGGGUUACGAUUGACGGAGCGAAGCGACGUCAAAGCGUAUACAAAGUCGAGUCGGUUUAAGGAUACGUUCGUUGGGUAGGGGAGCGUUCUGUAAGCCUGCGAAGGUGGCCUGUGAGGGUUGCUGGAGGUAUCAGAAGUGCGAAUGCUGACAUAAGUAACGAUAAAGCGGGUGAAAAGCCCGCUCGCCGGAAGACCAAGGGUUCCUGUCCAACGUUAAUCGGGGCAGGGUGAGUCGACCCCUAAGGCGAGGCCGAAAGGCGUAGUCGAUGGGAAACGGGUUAAUAUUCCCGUACUUGGUGUUACUGCGAAGGGGGGACGGAGAAGGCUAUGUUGGCCGGGCGACGGUUGUCCCGGUUUAAGCGUGUAGGUGUGUGUUCCAGGUAAAUCCGGUUCACUUUAACACUGAGGCGUGAUGACGAGGCACUACGGUGCUGAAGCAACAAAUGCCCUGCUUCCAGGAAAAGCCUCUAAGCAUCAGGUAACAUCAAAUCGUACCCCAAACCGACACAGGUGGUCAGGUAGAGAAUACCAAGGCGCUUGAGAGAACUCGGGUGAAGGAACUAGGCAAAAUGGUGCCGUAACUUCGGGAGAAGGCACGCUGACACGUAGGUGAAGUGAUUUACUCACGGAGCUGAAGUCAGUCGAAGAUACCAGCUGGCUGCAACUGUUUAUUAAAAACACAGCACUGUGCAAACACGAAAGUGGACGUAUACGGUGUGACGCCUGCCCGGUGCCGGAAGGUUAAUUGAUGGGGUCAGCGCAAGCGAAGCUCCUGAUCGAAGCCCCGGUAAACGGCGGCCGUAACUAUAACGGUCCUAAGGUAGCGAAAUUCCUUGUCGGGUAAGUUCCGACCUGCACGAAUGGCGUAAUGAUGGCCAGGCUGUCUCCACCCGAGACUCAGUGAAAUUGAACUCGCUGUGAAGAUGCAGUGUACCCGCGGCAAGACGGAAAGACCCCGUGAACCUUUACUAUAGCUUGACACUGAACAUUGAGCCUUGAUGUGUAGGAUAGGUGGGAGGCUUUGAAGUGUGGACGCCAGUCUGCAUGGAGCCGACCUUGAAAUACCACCCUUUAAUGUUUGAUGUUCUAACGUGGACCCGUGAUCCGGGUUGCGGACAGUGUCUGGUGGGUAGUUUGACUGGGGCGGUCUCCUCCUAAAGAGUAACGGAGGAGCACGAAGGUUGGCUAAUCCUGGUCGGACAUCAGGAGGUUAGUGCAAUGGCAUAAGCCAGCUUGACUGCGAGCGUGACGGCGCGAGCAGGUGCGAAAGCAGGUCAUAGUGAUCCGGUGGUUCUGAAUGGAAGGGCCAUCGCUCAACGGAUAAAAGGUACUCCGGGGAUAACAGGCUGAUACCGCCCAAGAGUUCAUAUCGACGGCGGUGUUUGGCACCUCGAUGUCGGCUCAUCACAUCCUGGGGCUGAAGUAGGUCCCAAGGGUAUGGCUGUUCGCCAUUUAAAGUGGUACGCGAGCUGGGUUUAGAACGUCGUGAGACAGUUCGGUCCCUAUCUGCCGUGGGCGCUGGAGAACUGAGGGGGGCUGCUCCUAGUACGAGAGGACCGGAGUGGACGCAUCACUGGUGUUCGGGUUGUCAUGCCAAUGGCACUGCCCGGUAGCUAAAUGCGGAAGAGAUAAGUGCUGAAAGCAUCUAAGCACGAAACUUGCCCCGAGAUGAGUUCU
rnacentral:rRNA from 1 species